UACGGAGGGUGCAAGCGUUAUCCGGAAUUACUGGGCGUAAAGGGUGCGUAGGCGGUUGUUUAAGUCUGUCGUGAAAUCCCCGGGCUCAACCUGGGAAUGGCGAUGGAUACUGGGCAGCUAGAGUGUGUCAGAGGAUGGUGGAAUUCCCGGUGUAGCGGUGAAAUGCGUAGAGAUCGGGAGGAACAUCAGUGGCGAAGGCGGCCAUCUGGGACAACACUGACGCUGAAGCACGAAAGCGUGGGGAGCAAACAGG
rnacentral:rRNA from 1 species